CCGAUAUCAAGCUUGGCUGUUAUGGAGGCUCAUUGCUUCCUCGAUGUCGGGUGUGAUAGAAAUGGAAAAAUUAGAAAUCAAACAAACAAAAAGGGGAGAGAACAAAGAAGAUGGAGACCAAGAGACUGAAUGACAGUUGUGGAAGUGGUGCUGGCAGAGAGACAUUAGAGAUCUGCAAGCUGGAAAAUAAUUCUGGAAUAAGUUGCUGCAUCCAAGAUUUUCCCAAGACCCAUUGACAAAGCUUGGGAAUUAUUAGUGUGAAGCACACAGUUACAGCUCCACCAGAGUCCUUAUGAUUCCAUGAAACAGUGGAUAUACUAUGUAACCAAAAAAAAAAGCAGAAGUAUGUUUUCGUGGAGGGCAAGAAUUUUUACCCUAAUGGGAAUGGGUCAGCGUUUCAUUACAUCUUGAGCCCACCACACAAGAAUCAUGUAUCAUACUUGAACAAUAAAGCCA